rnacentral:lncRNA from 1 species
AAAAAAAAAAAAAAAAAAAUCUGCACCCCGUCUUAACAUGACCAGGUUCAAAAAGAGGCACCCAUGCAAGGUUUCGCCGUCCUAGGUUCAACGCUGUAGGCACCCAUAAAGGGCACACACACAAACUCUAACUAAACUAAAGUUGCCUAUAGACAAUUAUAUUAUAAGCAAAGAUAUAUUCAAUUAGAUGUAAAAUAUACCUUUGUAUUAUAAGUAGUGUUGGAUCUGUCUAAAAAGACAUCAACCCAUAAGUCCGGUCCUAAUAAAAUUUUCAGUCCUAGGACCGUUCCUUAACCGUCUCUUGUAGAAACUACAACAGCUGAAAUAACGUAGAUACUACUAAUUACUUCAUUUGAUUCAGAUCCCUAUAAUUAGAGUUAUGUCACCAGUCUAUCCGCUUUGAGGAUAGCUGACUUUCUCAAGUGUUUGGGUAAGUCACCAAGACAUUCAAAAUGUAAUACUAUAUUAUGUGUGAUAAACUCUGCAAAGGCGAUAUAUUUUUUUUUAAAUACUCAAAGUAUACCCUCUUGUUGUGCAGUGGAUUACAAAAAUCGAUCUGAAGCUGAGGGAAUCAUACUUAUUUCAUUUGCAAGGGACGGAUUCCUUGGAAUGCAAUGGGUCCUAAAAAGGAAAUGAAAUCUUUGGAAACCAUAAUAUAAACAUUUCGAAGAAAAUCAAUUCAUAAAGGUUUCCAACAUUGUUUAAACAUCUAAAACUUAAAAUUCAAAGGCUCACCAAAAACUCCAACAAAAACAUUUUCAUUCUGGAGAAUAAUGUUGAUUGAACAUACAUACUUUACACCUUAUUUGGAAUAUCCUACUUCCGAAAAUGGAGAAAUAGACUUAGUGGACGUGAAUCUAAUUUAAUGAACAAUAGAAGACGAAACUUCUUAUAACUUAUUUCUCCUGAGGUAAAAGCUCAUAAGGAUACUAAUACCAACCUACAAAUCCAACUUGGAGUCUAUUAAGUAGAAACAAAGAAAUUAAAGAAGUUGAAGGAAAAAGAUUUCAAAAUUAGAAACGCAGAAUCAAAAUUUAUGUCUUUCAAAAUGUGCCUCUCUUCGGUAUUUAAUUCAAACUACAUAAAAAAUUUUAAGUUGCAUGUCUUCACAUUCCAAAACGAGAGUCUAAUAAAACCAUCGAGAAUUCACUUCAGUUAUGAUUCGUUGAGGAAGUAUAUGUUGCCCAAUUAAUCUAUUACACCAAGAACUGUUUGGAUCAAUAUGCAAAAAUAGAGGCUUUAUUCAAAUCUUAUGUCAAUGAAUUCAAAAAAAUGAAAAAAAUUGUAAACUCAAAAGCUGAAGUAGCGGUUCCAUUAGUUAAGUCAUCUAUAAAUGUCGCCAAAUGUUGUAAAAUUUUAUUUUUUACUGUCUCUAAGGAUGUUAGUAUAAGAAUUCAUAUACAUUUACGAAUGCAAACUGUGAUAAUCAAAGAAAAUAGAAUAGCUUCUUCUACUUUCGGAAGCCGAAGAGUGUGUAUGCGAAAUAAAGUAAAUUAAAAAAUUAUUAUUAAAGUCAUUAUUCAAUUUUUUUAUAAUAUUUAAGCUCAAUAAAAUUAAUUUUCGAUUA